CCUACGGGGGGCAGCAGUGAGGAAUAUUGGUCAAUGGGCGCUAGCCUGAACCAGCCAAGUAGCGUGAAGGAUGACUGCCCUAUGGGUUGUAAACUUCUUUUAUAUGGGAGUAAAGUGCAGUAUGUAUACUGCUUUGCAUGUACCUUAUGAAUAAGGAUCGGCUAACUCCGUGCCAGCAGCCGCGGUAAUACGGAGGAUCCGAGCGUUAUCCGGAUUUAUUGGGUUUAAAGGGAGCGUAGGCGGGUUGUUAAGUCAGUUGUGAAAGUUUGCGGCUCAACCGUAAAAUUGCAGUUGAUACUGGCAUCCUUGAGUACAGUAGAGGUAGGCGGAAUUCGUGGUGUAGCGGUGAAAUGCUUAGAUAUCACGAAGAACUCCGAUUGCGAAGGCAGCCUGCUGGACUGUAACUGACGCUGAUGCUCGAAAGUGUGGGUAGCAAACAGGAUUAGAUACCCGAGUAGUC
rnacentral:rRNA from 1 species